UACGAAGGGGGGCUAGCGUUGCUCGGAAUCACUGGGCGUAAAGCGCACGUAGGCGGCUUUUUAAGUCAGGGGUGAAAUCCUGGAGCCCAACUCCAGAACUGCCUUUGAUACUGAGAAGCUCGAGUCCGGGAGAGGUGAGUGGAACUGCGAGUGUAGAGGUGAAAUUCGUAGAUAUUCGCAAGAACACCAGUGGCGAAGGCGGCUCACUGGCCCGGUACCGACGCUGAGGUGCGAAAGCGUGGGGAGCAAACAGG
rnacentral:rRNA from 1 species